rnacentral:rRNA from 1 species
UACGGAGGGGGCUAGCGUUGUUCGGAAUUACUGGGCGUAAAGGGCGCGUAGGCGGCCUUCUAAGUCAGACGUGAAAUCCCUCGGCUCAACCGGGGAACUGCGUCUGAGACUGGAGGGCUUGAAUCCGGGAGAGGGAUGUGGAAUUCCAGGUGUAGCGGUGAAAUGCGUAGAUAUCGGGAGGAACACCUGUGGCGAAGGCGGCCCCCUGGUUGGAUACUGACGCUGAUACGCGAAAGCGUGGGGAGCAAACAGG